CAGCAGCCACGGGAACACGGAGGGAGCUAGCGUUGUUCGGAAUUACUGGGCGUAAAGCGCGCGUAGGCGGUUACUCAAGUCAGAGGUGAAAGCCCGGGGCUCAACCCCGGAACUGCCUUUGAAACUAGGUGACUAGAAUCUUGAAGAGGUCAGUGGAAUUCCGAGUGUAGAGGUGAAAUUCGUAGAUAUUCGGAAGAACACCAGUGGCGAAGGCGACUGACUGGACAAGUAUUGACGCUGAGGUGCGAAAGCGUGGGGAGCAAACAGGAUUAGAUACCCGCGUAGUCCCUGUCUCUUAUAC
rnacentral:rRNA from 1 species